GCCGGCGGUGCUCAGAGCAGGCCGUCUCUCAUAAGGACGCGCAGGAGGGUGCGACUCCCUCCGUCGGCA
rnacentral:tRNA from 1 species